CGUUUUUAGGACCGUUUAUGCCUUAAUAUACUACAAUGUUUUUUUUGACAUUUUAUGCCAUACUAUACUAUGACGUUUUUUGGCAUUUUUCUGCCAUACUAUAUGAAGAUGUUUUUUGGCAUUUUUAUGCUUUACUAUACUAUAUUGUUUGAUGCCUGACCAUACCAUGACGUUUUUAUGACCGUUUAUGCCUUAAUAUACUACAAUGUUUUUUUUGACGUUUUAUGCCAUACUAUACUAUGAUGUUUUUUGGCAUUUUACUGCUAUACUAUACAUAGAUGUUUUUUGGCAUUUUUAUGCCUUACUAUACUAUAUUGUUUGAUGCCUGACCAUACCAUGACGUUUUUAUAACCUUUCAUGCCUUAAUCUACUAUGAUGUAUUUUUGACGUUUUAUGCCAUACUAUACUAUGACGUUUUUUGGCAUUUUUCUGCUAUACUAUACGUAGAUGUUUUUUGGCAUUUUUAUGCCUUACUAUAGUAUGUUAUUUGAUACCUGACUAUACUAUGACGUUUUUAUGACCUUUAAUAUCUUAAUAUACUAUGAUGUUUUUUUUAUGUUUUAUGCCAUACUAUACUAUGACGCUUUUUUGGCACUUUUAUGCCUUACUAUACUAUGCAAUUUGAUGCCUGACCAUACUAUGACGUUUUUAGGACCGUUUAUGCCUUAAUAUACAACAAUGUUUUUUUUUACAUUUUAUGCCAUACUAUACUAUGACGUUUUUUGGCAUUUUUCUGCCAUACUAUAUGAAGAUGUUUUUUGGCAUUAUUAUGCUUUACUAUACUAUAUUGUUUGAUGCCUGACCAUACCAUGACGUUUUUAUGACCUUUCAUGCCUUAAUAUACUAUGAUGUAUUUUUUAUGUUUUAUGCCAUACUAUACUAUGACGCUUUUUGGCUUUUUUAUGCCUAAUAAUAUUAUUUCGUCUCAUGCCUUGCCAUGUUAUGAUGUUUUUAUGACCUUUUAUGCCUUAAUAUACUAUGACAUUUUUAUGCCUUAAUAUACUAUGACGUUUUUUUGACAUAUUUAUGCUUUACCUAUACCAUGACCUGGAGCCUUCCCCAGCAUCUUUUCGGGCGAGAGGCGGGGUACGCCCUGGACAGGUCGCCAGUCCAUCGCAGGGCAAACACAUAGAGACAGACAACCAUUCACACUCACAGCCACACCUAUGGUCAAUUUAGAGUAUCCAAUUAGCCUAGUCCCCAUUUUGCAUGUCUUUGGACUGUGGGAGGAAGCCGGAGUACCCGGAGAGAACCCACACUUGCACGGGGAGAACAUGCAAACUCCACACAGAAAGAUCCCACGGCUGAGCCGGGACUCGAACCCGGAACCUUCUUGCUGUGAGGCGACAGCGCUGACCACUGCACCACCGUGCAGCCCGCAUAAAAAUUCAUUGUAUAGUAUACUCAUCACCUGCAGUAUGUAUACCCUGGUCAUCCAUCUAUUCGUCGCCAGAUUGUUCCGCUCUUCACAGUGACUUCCUGAUUUGUGGGCUGCUGAUCCUGCCAUACUCCGCCGUUGUCACGCCACACCACCCACCUGCCUCUGGUCUCCAGGCAUCCCUUGUGUUCCAGAGUGUGUUUACUCACCUACCUCCGGCCUCAUGUUAUCUCCAGACACCUGGAUUCCCCGGACUCACUCGCCCUCCACAUUCACCAUCACCACUGCCUUGUCCCCAAUAAACUCCCUUACACUGUUA